CCUACGGGAGGCAGCAGUGAGGAAUAUUGGUCAAUGGACGCAAGUCUGAACCAGCCAUGCCGCGUGCAGGAUGACGGCUCUAUGAGUUGUAAACUGCUUUUGUACGAGGGUAAACCCCGAUACGUGUAUCGGGUUGAAAGUAUCGUACGAAUAAGGAUCGGCUAACUCCGUGCCAGCAGCCGCGGUAAUACGGGGGAUGCGAGCGUUAUCCGGAUUUAUUGGGUUUAAAGGGUGCGUAGGCGGAUUUUUAAGUCAGCGGGAAAAUGUCCGGGCUCAACCCGGGCCGGCCGUUGAAACUGGGGUUCUUGAGUGGGCGAGAAGUAUGCGGAAUGCGUGGUGUAGCGGUGAAAUGCAUAGAUAUCACGAAGAACUCCGAUUGCGAAGGCAGCAUACCGGCGCCCGACUGACGCUGAGGCACGAAAGCGUGGGGAUCGAACAGGAUUAGAUACCCCAGUAGUC
rnacentral:rRNA from 1 species